AGGCCAGUGGCGAAAAAGAUAACGCAUCUGACUAUGAAUCAGAAGAUUUAGGAAUUGAGUUCCUCAGUUCUC
rnacentral:tRNA from 1 species